AUAUUUUAAGGUUUGAUAAUCAGAGUUCACUCAUUUGGCGGAAAAAAGAUGAAUGUGGAUGGCCCUCAUCUCUGGCUUUACCAAAGGGAAAAAGUGAUAUUCCUGAAAAAUACAGAUUGGUUGUAUUUCUUAAUGAUCUGGUGGAUCAAACUAUAACAGAAGGCGAAGGAAAUGAACCAACAAUGUAAGUUUAUACAGUGGUAACCACAAAAUAGUGGAA
rnacentral:lncRNA from 1 species